UACAGAGGUCUCAAGCGUUGUUCGGAUUCAUUGGGCGUAAAGGGUGCGUAGGCGGCGCGGUAAGUCGGGUGUGAAAUCUCGGAGCUUAACUCCGAAACUGCAUUCGAUACUGGGCGGCUAGAGUCUGGUAGGGGGAUCUGGAAUUCCUGGUGUAGCGGUGGAAUGCGCAGAUAUCAGGAGGAACACCGGUGGCGAAGGCGGGAUCCUGGGCCAGUACUGACGCUGAGGAGCGAAAGCGUGGGGAGCAAACAGG
rnacentral:rRNA from 1 species